GCCGGCAGCCGUAUCACCCUAAAAUGGCGGCAGCUCUCAACUGGCUACCCACUGAAGCUAAGCAGGGUUGAGCCUGGACAGUUCCUGGAUUGGAGACCUCCUGGGAAGCUAUGGUUGCUGCUGGAA
rfam:Lepisosteus oculatus linkage group LG12, whole genome shotgun sequence.